GGGAAACAGUUGGAGGCAAGAGCCAACUGCUUGACUGGAUUUGAGGUCUUUGGGUUUUCUGGCUGACUGAAGGAAGAAGCUGGGUUUGUCUCUGGGACUUGGGAUAAUUAAGUUGGAGGUGACCUGGCUGAUUUGAAGGCAGAAGAAGGACAAUAGUCCUCAUAUCUCUCUCUGAGUGGCUCUGUUUCAUGCUAGAUCACAGACCCUAGGUGAAGAAUUCACUGGGCAGAGGGAAAAGUCAUAGAUAUUCUGGGUGAAUGGAAGAAGCAUCAUGAGCAAAGAGGCAGGGUGCAAUAAUGGAAUAAUACAUUGGAUAUUGAAUGUAAUGGAAUACAAUAAGGCCUGAAUGGAAUGGAAGGAACCAACUCCCAGCAUCAAUGGUGGCCAUUUCAUCCAAUGGAAGCAGAUGUUGCAUGCCGAAGGACCACAGGACCCAUUCCUCUGGGUGUAAAUUCUCACACUGAAAAUUUAACAAUCAACUCUCAAGUGCCAAUUAGAGGAGACUCCAGCACAUCCCUGCCUUCACCUCAGUGGUACAGAGGUGAUGAGGCAGUCUUGGGGUGAUGGAGGUAAUAGUGAUGGGGAUUAGGGCCACUUCAUCUCUUUGCCUAAAAAAACCUAUGUAAAUGUGAGCCAGGACAGUGGUUUAAUACCUGCAUCCUGCUGCAUAUCUAAGCUACCCAGAGCUGCCUACAGAACUAGGGACAAUGAGGGUUGUACAUCUGUGCUCUUCCUGUUGGCAUCUAUUCUCCCUGUAUAACAGUGUCCCUCUUUAGGAACAGAUCCCACACCUUUUUUCCUGCAUUGUAUGAGGGUUCGGCUUUUCUAUUACAUAUAAUUGAGGCUUUUAAAAAAAUUAUAUAGUAAAUUUAGCAAUAUAUUAACAAAACUGUCCUGCUUGUCUGUUUUCAUUUCUGAACUUCCUUUCAUUUUUCUGUGAUUUUUUGUUUUUAAUAUUCCAUUGACUGCCUUUUCUUCUUUUUUUGCAUCAUUUUUACUAUCCAUCAACUCCCUUUCUUAAAUAGAAGGAUCCUCUUAUAACAAAUAAGUUGAAUUAAGUGGACCAAAUCAAUAUAUUGGCUAUUUCUGAAAAUGUGUUUCUUUCCAAACCUCUGGUCCAUUACCUCCCUGCCAAGAGGUGGGAGGUAUGUUUUAUCACUAGUCUUCUGAAGUCAUGACAAUCCCUGCAUAGUUGUGAAGGUUCUCUUAUAUUAUCAUAAUCAUUAUGUACAUUUUUCUCCUGGUUCUGCUUCUUUGAUCUGUAUCAUUUCAUCAAGUUUGUCUAGGUUUCUCUGAAUCGAACAUAUCUAUCAUUUCUUAACAAUGAAAUAAUAUUCCCUUACAUUCUUAAACCAAAAUUUGUUCAUCCAUUCCUCAAUUAUUAGAUACCCACUUUUUUUCAGUUCUUUACUAUAACAAGAUAUGCUUUUAUAAAUCUUUUUUAACAUAUGGGUCUUUUCCCUUUGUCUUUGACCUUUUUUCCCUAGUCAGGAUAUGUGCAAUUUAGUCAUUUGACAUUUUCUAGAAUGGUUAGACCAAUUUUCAACUUCAUCCAAAGUUCACU
rnacentral:lncRNA from 1 species